UGCCGCGUGNAGGAAGANUGCCCUAUGGGUUGUAAACUGCUUUUAUACAGGAAGAAACCUUUUCACGUGUGAAAAGCUGACGGUACUGUAAGAAUAAGGAUCGGCUAACUCCGUGCCAGCAGCCGCGGUAAUACGGAGGAUCCAAGCGUUAUCCGGAAUCAUUGGGUUUAAAGGGUCCGUAGGUGGAUAAUUAAGUCAGGGGUGAAAGUCUGCAGCUCAACUGUAGAAUUGCCUUUGAUACUGGUUAUCUUGAAUUAUUGUGAAGUGGUUAGAAUAUGUAGUGUAGCGGUGAAAUGCAUAGAUAUUACAUAGAAUACCAAUUGCGAAGGCAGAUCACUAACAAUAUAUUGACACUGAUGGACGAAAGCGUGGGGAGCGAACAGGAUUAGAUACCCUGGUAG
rnacentral:rRNA from 1 species